rnacentral:rRNA from 1 species
UAGGCAAUCUUCCGCAAUGGGCGAAAGCCUGACGGAGCAACGCCGCGUGAGUGAUGAAGGUCUUCGGAUCGUAAAACUCUGUUAUUAGGGAAGAACAAAUGUGUAAGUAACUAUGCACGUCUUGACGGUACCUAAUCAGAAAGCCACGGCUAACUACGUGCCAGCAGCCGCGGUAAUACGUAGGUGGCAAGCGUUAUCCGGAAUUAUUGGGCGUAAAGCGCGCGUAGGCGGUUUUUUAAGUCUGAUGUGAAAGCCCACGGCUCAACCGUGGAGGGUCAUUGGAGACUGGAGAACUUGAGUGCAGAAGAGGAGAGUGGAAUUCCAUGUGUAGCGGUGAAAUGCGCAGAGAUAUGGAGGAACACCAGUGGCGAAGGCGACUUUCUGGUCUGUAACUGACGCUGAUGUGCGAAAGCGUGGGGAUCAAACAGG